AAGAUCUGGCACCACACCUUCUACAACGAGCUGCGUGUGGCCCCCGAGGAGCACCCCAUCCUGCUGACCGAGGCCCCCCUGAACCCCAAGGCCAACCGCGAGAAGAUGACCCAGAUCAUGUUUGAGACCUUCAACACCCCAGCCAUGUACGUGGCCAUCCAGGCCAUGCUGUCCCUGUACACCUCUGGCCGUACUACUGGCAUCGUGAUGGACUCUGGUGACGGGGUCACCCACACUGUGCCCAUCUAUGAUGGGAAUGCCCUCCCCCAUGCCACCCUGCGCCUAGACCUGGCUGGGCGGGAACUGACU
rnacentral:lncRNA from 1 species